CGAGACUCAGUGAAAUUGAAAUCGCCGUGAAGAUGCGGUGUACCCGCGGCUAGACGGAAAGACCCCGUGAACCUUUACUAUAGCUUGACACUGAACAUUGAAUUUUGAUGUGUAGGAUAGGUGGGAGCCUUUGAAGCAGUGACGCCAGUCAUUGUGGAGGCGACCUUGAAAUACCACCCUUUAACGUUUGAUGUUCUAACGAAGAUGACGAAACGUGGUCUCGGACAGUGUCUGGUGGGUAGUUUGACUGGGGCGGUCUCCUCCCAAAGCGUAACGGAGGAGCACGA
rnacentral:rRNA from 1 species